rnacentral:rRNA from 1 species
GACGAACGCUGGCGGCGUGCUUAACACAUGCAAGUCGAACGGAAAGGCCCUGCUUUUGUGGGGUGCUCGAGUGGCGAACGGGUGAGUAACACGUGAGUAACCUGCCCUUGACUUUGGGAUAACUUCAGGAAACUGGGGCUAAUACCGGCUAGGAGCUCCUGCUGCAUGGUGGGGGUUGGAAAGUUUCGGCGGGUGGGGAUGGACUCGCGGCCUAUCAGCUUGUCGGUGGGGUAGUGGCUUACCAAGGCUUCGACGGGUAGCCGGCCUGAGAGGGUGACCGGCCACAUAGGGACUGGGAUGCGGCCCAGACUCCUACGGGAGGCAGCAGUGGGGAAUAUUGCACAAUGGGCGGAAGCCGGAUGCAGCAACGCCGCGUGCGGGAUGACGGCCUUCGGGUUGUAAACCGCUUUCGCCUGUGACGAAGCGUGAGUGACGGUAAUGGGUAAAGAAGCACCGGCUAACUACGUG